AAAAAUAAUAUGACACAUCUUCGUUCAUGUCUUGUUUAAUGUAUGCGGUGGAAGUUGAAAUCAAAAGAUAAUCCUUUAUUAACGACAAUUCUGUGAAUAACGCAAUGUAAAUCAGGUUUCCAGGCCUUGCAAUAAAACAAAUAACGUCGUUUUAUUGUACGUUGUUUCUAUGCGGCAGCGUAUUCAAUACAAGAAUUCGGUACACUCAAAGAUGUCAGAAGUAAUAAAUACGAAUAUCG